rnacentral:lncRNA from 10 species
CCAGAUCAGGAGUCACCAAAUACCAUGGAGAUGGUAACAAAGCCUACAGGGAGGCAGGGAUUGUGCGGGGAGUCUGCAGCAGCAAAACCCCUGCUGGGAUGAGGGGCCGGGCCCUCUCUGACCCCAGACCAGGCAAGGCUCCCGUCGUCCCCACUUUGCCACACUUGCUCGUCUAGGGGGACUGACCAGCCCCUGUUCGCCCAGGACUUUUCUCCUUUAAAACUGAGAGUCCCACGUCCCGGGAAUCCCCGAGUCCCAGGCAAACUGGGGUAAACCGGAACAAUGGAUUACGCCUCGCUUAUCUCAGCCUUAAGGUUUGGAAAUGGAUGCUCUGAGAGAUGAAGUUGUUUGCAGUGGCCAACCGGGUCGACAGGAUUUCAGAGUUCGUGGUCUGUUUGCCCUAUUCAGCAGGCUCCUGCAGCCCUCCUGGCCAGGACAGUGUGCACAUGACUCAAAAUGUCUGCUUUGGGUGGAGAAACUGAGGCCCACAGAGACAUGGGGCCAUGCCAGCUAGUGGAGGCAUAGCCAAUGGAGCUGGGCUCUCCAGGGCUGUGCUAACAGAGCCACAGCUCUCCCACCCCAGCUUGCAUGUGGAGCCCACUAAGGCCCGAAGGGGCUGGCCUGCCCAAGUUCACGGCUCUGCCGCAAGCUUGCUGCAGAUCACCAUCUCCUCCAUUCCUGGCCCCAACUCCCCUUGCAUAUGGAGCAAGGAAAGAUCUUUUGAAUGCUGAACGGGCCUGAGACACCUUCCUGAAGGAAAGCUGUCCUUGGAUCCAGGCAUUGUGACCUUGUUACUUCAUUUGGCCUUCAUGACCACCUGUCUAGGGCCUUCAUCAACCUCUUUUACAGAUGAGCCCUCUUGGAUGAUAAGUAAAUGGCAGCAUUUGGAUGUGACCCUGGUCUCUCUGAGCUUAGCUCUGGACUCCCCUCCCUCGUGCCCCUCUCAAACAAGCAAGAAGAAGGCAGGAGAGUAAGUUCUAAUCCUGGCUGUGCCACUGACUCCCUAUGUGGUCACAAUGAAGUCUUUUCCCUCUCAGCACCUCUGUUGCUAUACCUGCACAACGAGGAGCUUUGCUUGGCCAGGAAGAGGGCACAAUAGGUACAGAGUGCAGGUAUUUCUGGGCCCAUAGACAAGGAAGGGUGGGAGGAGGGGAGCAAUGGUGGACCCUCUUGGUUGACAAAUCUAAACAAUAAUAUGGAGCCUGAGAAAGCCAAAUACCAGCUCCC